rnacentral:rRNA from 1 species
GGGGCACCACCAGGAGUGGAGCCUGCGGCUUAAUUCGACUCAACACGGGAAAACUCACCCGGCCCGGACACUGGAAGGAUUGACAGAUUGAGAGCUCUUUCUUGACUCAGUGGGUGGUGGUGCAUGGCCGUUCUUAGUUGGUGGAGUGAUUUGUCUGGUUAAUUCCGAUAACGAACGAGACUCUAGCCUACUAAAUAGAUCGUCGGCUUACAAACGCCGGCGAGACUUCUUAGAGGGACAGGCGGUGAUUCAACCGCACGAAACAGAGCAAUAACAGGUCUGUGAUGCCCUUAGAUGUCCGGGGCCGCACGCGCGCUACACUGAAGUGAUCAGCGUGCUUUUUCAACCUACUCUGUCAAGAGUGGGGAACCCAAUGAACCUUCUUCGUGAUUGGGAUAGGGGAUUGUAAUUAUUCCCCUUGAACGAGGAAUUCCCAGUAAGCGCGAGUCAUAAGCUCGCGUUGAUUACGUCCCUGCCCUUUGUACACACCGCCCGUCGCUACUACCGAUUGAAUGUUUU